rnacentral:misc_RNA from 1 species
GUAAUUAUUUUGGUUUGUUUCAGAAGGUUUGAUACUUUAUAAAAAAGGGUUUAUGGUGUCCCCAAGGCGGGUGGCCGCCGAGGGAAAUAACAAUAGGUAUACAUAGACAAGGGUGGCGUUGCCUGACCCCGCAAGGGUUGCCCCCCACGAAGCCAUAAGCAAGCAGUAAUGAUCCUUCCGCAGGUUCACCUACGGAAA